GAAAGUGUAUCUGCCCAGGCGAGGAUCCUAAGACUUCACGAGGAACUCAUUAUACAAUGACAAAUGGAGGCAGCAUUAACAGCUCCACACACUUGCUGGAUCUUUUGGAUGAGCCCAUCCCAGGUGUCGGUACAUACGAUGAUUUCCAUACUAUUGACUGGGUGCGAGAAAAGUGUAAGGACAGAGAAAGGCACAGACGGAUCAACAGUAAAAAAAAAGAAUCAGCAUGGGAAAUGACAAAAAGUCUAUAUGAUGCUUGGUCAGGAUGGCUUGUAGUUACACUGACGGGAUUGGCGUCAGGGGCGCUGGCUGGAUUGAUAGACAUUGCUGCUGACUGGAUGACUGACCUGAAAGAGGGCAUCUGCCUCAGUGCAUUGUGGUACAACCAUGAACAGUGUUGUUGGGGCUCUAAUGAGACGACGUUUGAAGAGAGGGAUAAA
rnacentral:lncRNA from 1 species